AACGAAAUUUGUUAUGGGUAUUUGUAGGCAAUAACGAUCUGUUGAGGAACAAGAUUUGAGACUGAAAACUCUAGUUUCAAGAUAGAAUCGCAGUUUCAGACAUUAGAUUGAUCCUUUCUUUAUUGCCUCAAACUGUUGAAAAUUUGAUCUCAGUUAACUGAUCAUGCAACACCAUUGCAAGA